GACCAGGAUGGACAAUAUCGAUCAAGAACAUGAUUGUUCUAAUCACGUCCAUAAGUUUGAGAUGGUUGUCCAACAUGUUCACUUUUCUUUGGAAAGGUCUGUUAUUACUAUUAGCUAUCUAAUCUAUAAAACCAUCUGUAAACAUCUGAGAAACUAAACAUUUUAACAAUUUGUUCAUUCUACAAUCCCAGGACCAGGAUGGAAAAUAUUGGUCAAGAACAUGAUUGUCCUAAAUAUGUACAUAGGUUUGACACUGAUGUCCAACAUGUUCACUUUUCUUUGGAAAGUCCCAGGACCAGGAUGGACAAUAUCUAUCAAGAACAUGAUUGUUCUAAUCACGUCCAUAAGUUUGAGAUGGUUGUCCAACAUAUACAGCUCUCCUUGGAAAGGACCAGGAUGGACAAUAUCUCUCAAGAACAUGAUUGUUCUAAUCACGUCCAUAAGUUUGAGAUGGUUGUCCAUCAUAUUCACUUUUCUUUGGAAAGGUCUGUUAUUACUAUUAGCUAUCUAAUCUAUAAAACCAACUGUAACCAAUAAGAAACUAAAGAUUUGAAACUGUUUCAUUCUACAGUCUAAUCUAUAAUACCCGUUGAAAACAGUGAGGAAUGUGUCAGUUG
rnacentral:lncRNA from 1 species